UGACAUAAAACCAAAUAGCACUAAUUGAUUGGACGCCACGUAAAGUCAGAGGAUGGUCGGUUAGAUUAAAGAAGGCAAAGAUAGAAUACAUAUAUCACAUGAUAUCCAUAGAAAACGUUAUUUUAUGCUAGUAUGUAAGGUUAAGAUCAAGGAGUAUUGGUGACUACAUGUAAAAAAAUGAUUCUUGUAGAGUUGAUUUUUGAGGUAUAUAAUCGUUGGUAUAUAAUGCAUUUAUUUCGACCCUGAUUCAAUUAAUCGCCGAUUAUCUAGUGAUUUUAAAUGUGGAUGAUCGGUGUACAUUACACUUGUUGCAGAUGUGAUGCAAAACUAAAGCUCGUGAAAAACUAUAAAUGCAAAAAGAGCAGCAAAAGUCGCAAACACCACAAAGUUUAAAUCUUCUGCAUCUUGAUUAUUAUGGCGACCCUUUCACCCGAGAUCGCUUAAAGCGAUUAUAAUAUUGUAAUUGUAAAUCAUAAAACAAUAAAAUUCUAAAAAAUAUUACAUUUUUUAAUAAAUAUAUUCUCUGUGAAAAAGCUAUUUCACAUAGAAAUAUAAACCUUCAGUCGGCUUAAAUACUCUAACAUAAAUACUCUCGUUCCACGCACUGUAAAGGUCUGAGGUAAAUAAAAUGAUAUAUAAGUAUACUUUAACAAAAAUUGGGUGUAUCAUGUUCUUUUAGUUUUUAAAUUAGAAUAUAUAAAUGGCAUAACGGAAUAGAAGAAUAUAUGUAUACAUAUUUAUUUCAAAUGUCCAGUACCUAGCUCUUCUAGUUGCUGUGAUCGAAAAGUUAACGAAGAAGAACAUACAUAUAUGAUUUAUAAUUAAGUCAUGAAAUUUGUAGUGGACCUAUAUAAUAAAAUAAAAUUACCCUAACAUGCCAGAAUCGUUA